GUAUCUCCUUCUCCUUCUCCUGUACGCUUCUUCCUUCUAAUACAAUCUCCUGUACUCUUCUCCCUUCCCAAUCCGUCAUCGAAACCCUCAAGUCAAAAUUUGACUCGUGGCCUCAAUCGACUUAUGUGGUAGCAUCCGAGGGGAGUAGAGGAAAGGUGCCUGUUCUAAAAUGACAACGGCUUGACGUUAAGGGCCGCUUGAAGUUGCUUUUCAUUAUGGUGCUUAAAUAUGAAAUCAUGAGUUGAUAAGAAGGAUGCCUGAAUUAAAACGUCGGAACUUCAAAUUAAAGCACACUCGCUUCAUCUUCCCUUAGCCCACCGUUUCCUUCUCUUCCCCUCACCCCUCCAGACCAUACAAAUCCCAUAACAAACCAGAACCCUAGCAAAAUUCAAUUCAUCUCUCAAUCUCACUUCUCUCUCUCGAGAUCUGGAACCCUAGCUUCCUCCAUCGCCCUCCAAUCGGACGACAAAGAACCGGAGAUGAAAAAAAAUGACGAUCAAAUCGAAGGUGAACACCGAUUUCUGAGAAACCCGAACGGAUUUGCAGAUGGUAUUCGGAACUGUGUUCUCUUUAGUAAAAACUAAUUACCCAAAAUACCCCUAUAAAUCCCAAUGCUUUUUUCACCGACAAGAAAGGUCCAUUAGCAUGUAUGCUGAAUAUAUGCCCAACCAAAAUAAAAAAUCACGAUCUGUAAUCAUAAGAUCUGAACUUGCCAGUACUGGGUCACCUGGAACAUCCUAUCAAUUAUCAGAAAUUCUUAUCUAGAAAUAAAUAUGCAAGAGCUGAGGAAGUUUCAACAUCUGUAUGAAAACAUUUGGCUUGAUAGUAGUUUGUCAUAUUUGCAUAAAUAGUGAAUUCUGUUGUAAAAGACUAAGAACAUGCCUUUUCUAAUAUUUAUUUUUGAUCCACAAAGUAUGUGAAUGACU
rnacentral:lncRNA from 1 species